UCCCAGUUAACGUUCUCUUUGCACCUAGUUCCACUUUGUCCGAAGAUUACCUUUUUUUUUCUUUUUUACCUAAAUUCGGAAUGGUAGGCUGGAUUGAAGGUUUCCAUCAUGGGUGUUUUUGGCCCUGCACAUAUGGAUUCAGUGAGGCGGCUGCCUGAGCGAUCACGGUACUUGCUACGGUGACAGCAGUCCUUCUGUAAUCACAGUGGGAACGUCACUGAGACAGCCCACAGCUUGUGACAUCACGGCCAGUGUCUUGAUGAGUGCUAAAUGGGCCCAGCUGCAAGGGCUGAUAUUAAUGGCUUCCAUAAGCUUGCCCACCCCUCCCAUUGCUGGUAUGGCACUGGGCUCAGGAAACAGAAAUGCGAUCCACACUUCCACCGCUGUUCUGCGGCAGGCUUGGCUUGGCGCUCCUCCAGCCAGCUGCCUGUUUUCCCGCUGCAUGGGAACAUCCUGCCUGGCUGCGACGGGGGACCUCCCUGCCCACCCCAGGCAAGCAGUCUCACUCUCUCUCUCUUUUUCAC